ensembl:lncRNA
UGAGAUAUGAAAUGAACUACUUUAGGACAUGCCAUUUGCCUAUGAAGUCCAGGCAGUUUGUGGUUCUGGAUUCCAUCAUACGUUGUAGAAGACCGAAGGUAGGACUGUAAAGAAUUUUAUGGUAUUAUCUUUUUUUUUGUUCCUUUUCCUACAGAGCAGGUGUCUGUAUUGAGACUUGUGAGCCAAAAGAAUUGUAGACGACAUGAGUGAUUAACUAUCUUUUGUUUCCAGAAUACUUUUCAGCCUUUUUUCUUUCCUCAUUUCCUUCCCUUUGCCAACCACUGUUAGCAGAUAUUUCAGGGAAUAUACAAAAUAUUUGAAAAAAAUUAAACUUCUGCAAAAUUUCUUAAAUUCCACUGCUCCUGAAACAAUGGAACCUACCUCUGCUUCUAUCUCUAGAACAUUUCUACCUCUAAACAAAGUCUCUUAUUUAAUAUGUGCAGGUGAUACAGAACUCCAAAAGCCCUCACUUUUGUCUGCAGUUUGAGAGGAGCCUUUCUGUGAUUUCUUACUUAAAAUGGGUGGAUUUCAAAAUGGUAUUUUGAAAUCCCCACACCUUGCACUUCCAUUUGCUCUAAUGAUAACCAAAAACAUACUGUGUAAUUGGGAUACUCAGCCCCAGUUCUGGUUUAUGCAGUAGUCAAUCUCUCAGUAAUGUUAGACAGUCUAAUAUUGAGUUCCUCAAGGAUCUCUGCCUACAAAUGAGAACAUAAAACAAGUCUGAGAGAUUCUUUAUCUUUGCAGCUGCAUACGGAAUCACAUUUCCCUCAUUGCAGCAAAGCAUAGAGCAGGUAUUGGUACCAGGGUCUUGGUAGUGUGAAUGAAAACAGCACCCUCUUCUCUCACAUGUCAAGUCUAAACCCAAACAGAUGGAAAACAGUAAAGGUGGAUGUUCUGAUGUGUUAGAAGAAGCUAAACGCUAUGCCCGAUACCAAAAAGUCUUAGCAUAAAAUCGUAUCAGAAAAAAGGAUGUAUGAACAGGUCAAGCUGCUUGCUUUUGACAUCUCUUCCACUGCUAUUACUUAUGUAAAAUGUAAACCACCCACCCCAUAAAACAAACAAACAAAAAUCCACUGACAAAUAAAAUCACAGUGUAAAAAUGAUAGAGCACUAAAGAAGUGCUUGUUCACUAGGUGGAUAGAAACUUCCCUGGCAUGCAGAUCUAAUUGCAAUGCUCAAUUUAAAUGCACUGAGUUACUUUUAAAAUAGAAAAUGCAGCAUCUACUCGGAUGUCAGCAACAUGAAUAUGACAGCCAUUACUACAAGGUAGAGACUUUGUGGGGUGUUCUGCAGCAGAGAACAAAUGUAUCCUUUUAAAAAGUCUGAGAACCUCUUGCUGUGGCUGAUGGUGCAGUCACCAGUGGGAGACACUCCGUGGGUUUACAGCAUUGCUUAAAAAAUGUCAGCGUACCUCUUAUCAAAUUGCUACCUAAGGGGCUCUGUGUCAGCUAACUACCAACUACUCCCUGAAUUUGGAGCUUUGUGGCUUCAAAAAGAAUCUGCAGCCAUAUGCAAUUAUGACGAACUAGGAAUCAGGAAGGCAUCCAUUUAAAUUAAGGUGACAUGUUUGAUAUGAUCCUGCACUGUUCCAGAUUUCACCUGGAUCUUUUAGAGGAGAGUUCAAGAAAUGCGUUCCAUGCCUUUCUUCAGAUAAAGAAUGCACUUGACUCCUUCGGCAGCCCCACAUAAGCUGCAAUGCUCAGGUUCGGAAAGCAGGUUUGAUUACAAAUUGGUAGAUGCUCAUUAAAAAAAAAAGAAAAGAAAAGAAAUGAGGGAAGUGGAUGGUAAUGCUGCAGUUCUCUUUGUAGGCUGUAGAGAGGUUCAAAAUCUUAAGCAUUUGGCUGUUGCAUGGUAGAGCGGGAUACGUACGUGCAGAUGGAUUGAUUUAUCCGAUGUGAAUGGAACCGUGCUGGUUCUAGUGAUCACCUGAGGGGAAGGGGGAGGGUUGGUCAGAUUCUGCCUACUGACCCAUCCUGGAUUAUGUUGUAACGAAGUUAUAGACAAAUGCAAAGUCUGAAAAAUGAUUUGCUAAUUGAAGCUGCUGAGCAACAAAAAUGAGUGUUUUCUUGAAACCGGAUUUCAGUAUUUUGUCUGGUUGUUUUAAUUUUCAACCUUUUUUGUCCUUGCAAUGCAGAAUUACUACAUGAUGGGUAGGCCUAUGAAUUUUUCACAAGACUGUUUACCAUUGAAGGUGUUUGCCUGGGAAUUGUGCCUCAUUUUCAGAUGUUUUCAACAUGAUUGUGUUAGUAAAGUUGCAUACGUCCCUUUUUCACUACUUUCUACACACAGAGGUUGUGGAAAUGGACCUAAGAGGAAGAUGGAUGGUGCUUCAAGAGGAGAAGACUGUGUACAGGCAGGUUAUUUUUAGAAAACAGAACAACAGCCUCUGAAGAAAAUAGGAAACAAUACAUAUCUACACAAAAGCGCAUGAGGUAAAGAAAUGGAUACAGAGCAACGUAAGCUAGGUUCUGUUCUUCCAUUGUGGCUUUAGUUUUUUUACCGUUGACAAGCAUUUUGUGAAAAUUGCCUUGGGUUGUAUGUGCUGUUGGUAAUGCAUUUAGCAUAAACCACCUGAGAUAUUUUUGGUUCAAAAAGAGACCGUGCAGAUUUCUUUUGAUUAUUAAAAUCAUAGUAAGGUAACAAAGCAAAGGUAAGCAAAGCAAAGGUAACAGCCCAUGUUUGUCAUGACGAGAGGGAGAUCACUGUGUUACACUGCCAGGUUGGACUGCAGGAUCAUCACCUUUGUAGAAGCCUAAAAUAGUGAACUGUGGGUUGGCUUUGAGGGCAAGAAUUGACAAAUGCAAAACGUGCAUUGAUGACAAGAAGAAUCUCUUACUAACUUAAAGAAUUAUGUACAGUGUUCUUUUAAGCUGCACUGAAUUUGCUUUAAAAAUAGUAAUAAAUCUUACUGUGUAGGUCAAAUGUUACAUCUGUUGUGCAUUUAUAUGAGAGGAAUAAUAUUUCUUAAAAAAAUGUAACAUGCCAC